UGGAAAUGAGGACAAAAAUUGUUUACAGAUUUCACAAUGAAGACUGUUAAUCCAACUCUGAUCCAAACACCGUG